AUGUACCCCCUUGUCCCCACCGUGUCCCUUCAGGCUGCAGUGAUGGACCUGGACCCACACAGUGAGGGGCUCUACAGCCAAGACCCCCCAAGACCACCGUGUGUCCCAGUGUGCCCCCGCCCCAGGGAAGAGGCAGUCUCAGGUGUCCCCAAGAGAGGCAGUGUCCCNNNNNNNNNNNNNNNNNNNNGCAGUGUCCCUGUGUCCUGCCCUGUUGUCCCCUCAGGUCCCCCUCGGGGGAUCCCACAGCUGGAGGUGCUGCUGAGGCAGGUGCACAGCCUGCAGAAAGUCCGUGAGGCCACAGCACAGGAGCUGGUGAAGGCACAGGACUGCAGUGAGGGGUUGAGCCAGCAGCUGGAGCAGCAAUCACUGCAGAGAGCACAGUGGCAAGGGAAGGAGGUGGAGGCCAAAGGUCAGAGGCGCUGUGGGCUCUGUCUGGAGCAGCAGCAGCACCUGGAAGGGACAAAGCAGCAGUGGGAGCAGCUGAAAAACCUGCGCCGGGAACACAGGAGGCAGCACUGCCAGCAGCUCGAGGCCGUCAUGAAGGAGCUCAAGCACCUGCGUGUCACACACGCUCCAGCCCACGUGAAGGCUGAACUGGUGCAGCUGGAGAAGAUGGAGGAGAAGUGGCUGAGCUGGGGUGAGCCCCUGACACCUGAGUGACCCCUCCAGGAUCCCCCUCAAGCACCUGAGUGUCCCUCCUGACACCUGAAUGACCCCUGUGACACCUCUGGGCACCUGAGGGACACCCUUGGACACCUCAGUGCCAACACCUGAG
rnacentral:lncRNA from 1 species